UUGGGUGCAUCUCUCUCUCAGAAAGUUCUUCGAAUUUUUGUCUCUGAGCUCUCCCUCUGAAUUUGAUACCCAUGCGGUCAAUAUGUGCCAUCAGGUUAGAGUUAACUAAAGAAAAGAAAAACAAGAGUUUUAGUCAGGAUUUGGCCAAAUGCCGAAAGAAGAAAAGAAGAAAAAAAAUAAAGAAUAUGAAGAAUGAAAACUAAAUAAAAUCAAAUCAAAGAAGAAAUAAAAAUAAAAAUUUGUGGGUUGUCUCCCACGAAGAGCUUUGUUUAAUGUCG
rnacentral:lncRNA from 1 species